UGGGGCGUGGCCAAGUGGUAAGGCAACGGGUUUUGAUCCCGCUAUUCGGAGGUUCGAAUCCUUCCGUCCCAG
rnacentral:tRNA from 9 species